rnacentral:lncRNA from 1 species
AUGGAUCCCAUCUCUGAAUCCCAUGGAUCCCAUCCCUCAAUCCCUGAUUUCCACAGAUCCAAUGGAUCCCACCCUGAUCCCACAGAUCCCAUCCCUGAAUCCCUGAAUCCCACAGAUCCCGCUCCAGCCCCAUCCCGAUCCCACCCCCCUUCCCAGGCUGUUCCCAAGGUCUCUCUGUUCCUGGGAUUUCUGCACAGGGUCCUGCUGCAAAUCCCCCUUUCCCGAGGAUUCCCAACCCCAUGGAUGCAAAUCCCAGAAUCCCAGAGAUCCCAAUCCCGUGGAUAUCCCAAAUCCCCUUUCCCGGACAUGCCAAUCCCAUGGAUAUCCCAAAUCUCUGAAUCCCAGAGAUCCCAAUCCCAUCGAUAUCCCAAUCCCAUGGGUAUCUCAAAUCCCCCUUUCCCGAGGGUUCCCACCCCUGUGGAUGCAAAUCCCAGAAUCCCAGAGAUCCCAGUCCCAUGGCUAUCCCAAAUCUCUGAAUCCCAGAGAUCCCAAUCCCAUGGAUAUCCCAAAUCCUCUUCCCCCAAAAUCCCAAUCCCAUGGCUAUCCCAAUCCCACAGCCAUCUCAAAUCCCACGGAUAUCCCAAUCCCAUGGCUAUCUCAAAUCCCUGUUCCCGGAGAUCCCAAUCCCAUGGAUAUCCCAAAUCCCCAUUCCCAGAGAUCCCAAAUCCCAUGGAUAGAGAUCCCAAUCCCACGGCUAUCCCAAUCCCACGGCUAUCCCAAUCCCAUGGCUAUCCCAAUCCCANNNNNNNNNNCCCAAUCCCAUGGCUAUCCCAAUCCCACGGCUAUCCCAAUCCCAUGGAUAUCCCAAUCCCAUGGAUAUCCCAAUCCCAUGGAUAUCUCAAUCCCAUGGAUAUCUCAAUCCCAUGGAUAUCCCAAUCCCAUGGAUAUCUCAAUCCCAUGGCUAUCCCAAUCCCACAGCUAUCCCAAUCCCAUGGAUAUCCCAAUCCCAUGGAUAUCCCAAUCCCAUGGCUAUCCCAAUCCCAUGGAUAUCUCAAUCCCAUGGAUAUGCCAAUCCCACGGCUAUCCCAAUCCCACAGCUAUCCCAAUCCCAUGGAUAUCCCAAUCCCAUGGAUAUCUCAAUCCCACAGCUAUCCCAAACCCACGGCUAUCCCAAUCCCACAGCUAUCCCAAUCCCAUGGAUAUCCCAAUCCCAUGGCUAUCCCAAUCCCAUGGAUAUCUCAAUCCCAUGGAUAUGCCAAUCCCACAGCUAUCCCAAUCCCACGGCUAUCCCAAUCCCAUGGAUAUCCCAAUCCCAUGGAUAUCUCAAUCCCAUGGCUAUCCCAAUCCCACAGCUAUCCCAAUCCCAUGGAUAUCCCAAUCCCACGGCUAUCCCAAUCCCAUGGCUGUCCCAAAUCCCCGUUCCCAGCCCCCGGCUCCGUCCCAGCCCGGGCGCUCCGGGGUUAUCCCGGGUGA